CGGUGCGAUCAUACCAGCACUAAUGCACCGGAUCCCAUCAGAACUCCGUAGUUAAGCGUGUUUGGGCGAGAGUAGUACUAGGAUGGGUGACCUCCUGGGAAGUCCUCGUGUUGCACCCC
rnacentral:rRNA from 1 species